rnacentral:rRNA from 1 species
CUUGGUCAUUUAGAGGAAGUAAAAGUCGUAACAAGGUUUCCGUAGGUGAACCUGCGGAAGGAUCAUUACAUUCAGUAGCUUGCUACUGUUAGGGGGGUCUGUCAGCCUGUAUAGUAUCACUACUGAUGAGCAGCGCGACCCUCUGUCUGUACCCUUGUCUUUUGCGUACUCAUGUUUCCUCGGCGGGUUUACACCCGCCGGCUGGACAACUCUAUAACCUUUUUAAUUUUCAAUCAGCGUCUGAAAAACAUAAUAAUUACAACUUUCAACAACGGAUCUCUUGGUUCUGGCAUCGAUGAAGAACGCAGCGAAAUGCGAUAAGUAGUGUGAAUUGCAGAAUUCAGUGAAUCAUCGAAUCUUUGAACGCACAUUGCGCCCCUUGGUAUUCCAUGGGGCAUGCCUGUUCGAGCGUCAUUUGUACCCUCAAGCUCUGCUUGGUGUUGGGUGUUUGUCCACUCCCUGGUGUUUGGACUCGCCUUAAAGCAAUUGGCAGCCAGUGUUUUGGUAUUGAAGCGCAGCACAUUUUGCGAUUCUAGCCUGAAAUACUAGCAUCCAGCAAGUCAUUUUUCACUUUUGACCUCGGAUCAGGUAGGGAUACCCGCUGAACUUAAGCAUAUCAAUAAGCGGAGGA